rnacentral:rRNA from 1 species
AUUGAACGCUGGCGGCAGGCCUAACACAUGCACGUCGCGCGAGCGGCGGACGGGUGAGUAAUGUAUGGGGACUGCCCGAUAGCGGGGGAUAACUACUGGAAACGGUGGCUAAUACCGCAUACUAUCGGAUAACCCAUAUGGGAUUAGCUAGUAGGUGGGGUAAAGGCUAACCUAGGCGACGAUCUUUAGCUGGUCUGAGAGUAUGAUCAGCAGCACGUGGACUGAGACACGGCCCAGACUCCUACGGCGGCAGCAGUGGGUAAUAUUGCACAAUGGGCGAAAGCCUGAUGUAGCCAUGCCGCGUGUAUGAAGAAGGCCUUAGGGGUGUAAAGUACUUUCAGCGUGGAGGCGUUAGCCGCAGAAGAAGCACCGGCUAAGUCCGUGACAGAAGCCGCGGUAAUUC